rnacentral:misc_RNA from 1 species
UCAUUUACCCCCUCAAGCUCUGCUUGGUGUUGGGCGUCUGUCCCGCUUCGCGCGCGGACUCGCCCCAAAGGUAUUGGCAGCGGUCGUGCCAGCUUCUCGCGCAGCACAUUGCGCUUCUCGAGGCACCGGCGGAUUCGCGUCCAUCAAGCCCACUUCCCCAUUUUGACCUCGGAUCAGGUAGGGAUACCCGCUGAACUUAA